GGGGAUUUAGCUCAGUGGUAGAGCGCUUGCCUAGCAAGCACAAGGGCCUGGGUUCGGUCCUCAGCUCCA
rnacentral:tRNA from 1 species